AUUUCAGGGGGUGCCUAAAUUACUUUUAAGCCCUAUUUUAUAAAUACGUACCUAUAAGCUAAACUUAAUAAAUUAUAAUGCAUAAAUAAUUAAAUAAGCAUAACUUAAUUUUUUAAUUAAAUGUUGUGAUAUAUUAUUCCCAAUGAAUAUGUUUUUCUCGAAGGUCGUACAUUUUUCUCAGAUAGCUUUUAUUUAGCAUUCAGAGAUGUAAAUCAAAAUGGAACUAAAUUUAUUAUCUUUUACUGACAGUUUAUUUUAUUUUCUUAAUUAUUAUCUUUUUUUAUAAUUAUUACCUAUCUUUAUUAAUAAUAAUAAUAAUAAUAAUAAUAAUUAUUAUUAUUAUUAUUAUCUUUCACCUGGAACCCACAGUGCGCGCAUCUAUGCUUAUACUAUACGGACUUCUACGGUUAUGAUCGUUGAGUGCUGGAGAAAUGUGUGUCCUAAUUAGUUGUGCUUAAAAACAUAAGGAUUUGGAUGAUCACGCUGAUAGUAUAGAAAAUAUUUUAUUCUCAUUUGUUCUGAAGAACCGCAUCGAAACUCUUAUUGGACUUCUUCAAAAACCGCGAUCUAUAGAGAAGUGAUCUCGCAAAAAUAUAUGUCCGUAUUGCAAGACACAUUGCAUAUAAUCAAUUAUCGUUUAUACUCGUAACUAACAAUUAUUAAUAUUGUAAUAAUUUUAUUUUAUUUCGCUAUUUAUCUAUUUAUUUGAUUAUUAUCUUUAUUUUAUUUUAUUUAUAUCCAUCUAUACUUACUCUAUUCAAUAAACUAUGUACAAUUAUAUUAAUAGGUCAACUGUGUUGUAAGGCAACUCACUAAGUGACCAGUUCGCUGUAUUUAUAUUUAUAUUAAUAAAGUUUUUUAUAUAUGUAUGUUUAAAUCAGUGGCGUAGUUAUCAUAUGGCGAAGCGCGAAAGUGCCUUGGGGCCCCGGAGCACAGGGGGUACUUUGAAUAUUUUUGAAACUAUACUUCCCUAAAAUAAUUAACAAUGUUGAUGGUAUUUAACUUUCCUAAUCGUUCCAGUAACAAUCAGUAUUGAAGCAGGAUAAUAAUAAUACACGCAAUAUUUGUUUGUUUUUCAUAAUAGGUAUCUCCCAAUAAACGGCAUUUUCUGUUUACUCUGCAUAUCUGUUAAUUAUCUGACAGUUAAUUUUAUUUAUCAUUUCGUAAUAAAUAAUUAUUCACAAUAAAAAAAAAAAAAAAAACAAUAUAAUGUGUAUACCUUGAAUUUUCAUGUAAGGAUAAUAUCAGUUUGAGAGCCAUACAGCACCGGGGCCCUUUCCUGUAUAACUACGCCACUGGUAUAAGUCAGUCGAUAUAAAUAAUCUUUAUGGUAAAUUCUAAAUAAAGCAUUAUAUUAUUA